rnacentral:lncRNA from 1 species
CCGGUGCCGCAGGCUGCUGCGGGCGUCGCGGCCGGGGGCGGUGCCGCCGAGGGGCGGGCGGAGGGCGGGCCGGGGCGGGGCGCCGUCCUCUCGGCUCCGGGAGGCGGUGCGGGAGGGCGCUGGCCGCGUCCGCCCGCCGAGAGCCUCGGGUCGCGCAGCCUUCCUGAUGUGUCACCAGCACGUGGAGCCAGGAGUGCACUUGUGCACAGAAGGCUGCUGCCGGGCCUGGGAAGAUACUCAGUGAAUGGCAGUGUUGACACACUGCCCAGGAGGUCAAGCUUGGCUCUCGACAUGGGGAUGGUGCCUUCUGCCCUUGGUUCUACAAGGAUGACUUUUCCUGACAGUCUUCUCUGGCCUCCCAUCUGGCCAACUCCUGUUGGGAUGGUGGUUCUGAAUUGAAGAGCCUGCAAUCCUUGCCUCUUUUCCAGAAUUUCCCUGUGCUCCAGGCCCCUAAAGCCCAUGGCCAAGGGGUGGGGUUUUUCUAUAAGCCCAGACCCGGUAGCUCCAAGGCUCCUGCCAGGCCUGGGCCACAGUAACUCCUGCAGAGUGCCUCCCUCCCCUGCCAGCUACCUUGGGGUGGACACCCAGCGCUGGCAGGAAGGGCAUUCCAUUUGGCUCAACCCAUGAGGAAUCAAUUAGUGCUUGCUUUCUUUUGACUCUCCUAUCUAACACCAGAGCCUGUGACAUCACAGAAUAGCAGCCUUGGGCUUGAGUGAGGUGGGAUCCAUCCCUGGUGACAUGACUCUUGCAAAGUCUGGGUGUGGGAAAUGUGAUGGCCCAUUUUCCUGAUGAUACCUCUUUCUCCUACGCUGAAUCCCUGGGUUCAGGUGGGGCCAACUCCACCCACUGGCUUUAGAAGCAGACAUCUGAUCCGAGCCUGCACACAGGCUCCUGCAACUCCCCCAGCGACUUCUGCAACAAACAUGGGGAAAGAGCUUUCUCUUUCUGUGGGAGUUGCUAAGUCCACAGGAUAUAAGCUUGGAGCUGCUGAUGGCCAAUCUGUUAUCUAUUUGAGGAUGAAGCCAAUAAAGAGGAAGGAGAACUAAGAUGGAUAGAGUGUGCUGUCCAGACUUGCCACUUCCUGCCCAGUAAAUUCCCGAAUCCAACUCUGCCCCUGGACUACCCUGAUUAUAUGAGCCAGUGCUUUUUAAAUUAUUUUCUUUCUUUUAAAACCAGACUGAGGUGCGUUUCUAUCAUAGAAAGGUUUCGAAUACAGUAAGUGUUUUUAUGUGGUCUUUUUUUUUUUUAAAUCAGCUUUAUUGAGAUGUACUUCUCAUGCAGUCCACCCCUUUUAAGCAUACACAUCCUAAGUUUUAUCAAAUCCACACACCUUUGCAACCACCACAAUCAGAGGUGGAAUAUUUCUUUUUCUUCCCAAAAAAGUUCCAGCUCUCCCUUGAUGGUCCGUCCCUUCAGCCUCAGACAACCACUGAUCUGCUUUCUAGAGAUUGCUUUUGCCUCUUCUAGAAUUUCCUGUAAAGAUGAUCACAUGGUGAGCACUCUGUGUUUGGUUUCUUUUUCUCAGCAUGUUUUCGAGACUCAUCCUUGUUACAUGCAUCAGUAGACCAUUCCUUUUGUUGCUGGGGAAGAUUGCAUCGUGUGGAUGUGCAUCCGUUUGUUCAGCCACUUACCAGAUGAUGCAUAUUUGAGCUGUUUCUAGAUUUUGGCUGUUAUAAAUAAAGUUGUUUCGGACAUUGAUUUAUCAAUCUUUGGUUGUAUGUUUUGAUUUUUAUACAUCAGGCUAGUUUUCCAGUUGAGGCAACGAGUUCAGACAGGUAGGUUGACUUGUACAGCGCCCUAUGGCUGAUACUCCCAAAGCUGGCGCCGUGACGGGGAGGGAGCAGAAGGGAGGGAAUGAGGUGUUCCUUAACGAGGCUCAGGGCUGCUUGGGAAAGGAGCUGUUGGACACCUGGUGCCCAAUACCAUUGUUGCUGGGAGGAACUGUCAAGAUGAGCUGCAGCCUUGGUCCUCACCUCUCUAGACCAGUAUUACAGUGUAUUUGUUUUUCCCCAGGGAUUCCAAAGUUUGAAAGAUAAAGUGUAAAUAGGCUGCAUUCAUGAAGCCAGAAUCUAUUUCCCCAGCAUAUUCAAGAUGUAUCCAGAAUUGUCCAUCAGAGCUCACUGUGAGCUGCGAGCCAAAAGACUUGAGGCCAAGUCAUUCCAGAAAAAAACAAAGAAACCUUUUUUUUGGUGUGUGUGUAUGGGGGCGGGGAACCAGCACAUCACUGACUCUUCCCAGAAGUCUAGAGGACGUCAGGUUGGUUCUCCUGCUCAGUCCCUUGCUCAGAUGGUCCAGCCGGAUCUCCGGCAUGUUCUGUCUGCCUGGGUCAACCCUUGGAGGUCAUGGAGUGUGUGUGAUACCCAGUCCGUGAACCCAUUGAGUCAACUCCCUAAGGACAGAGGUAUCUGUGGACCUUCUGGUUUUGUGAGCCAAUAUUUUCUUUCUUUGAGCCAGAGAGACCUGGUACCACAGCUUUGUUGUGACAUCACCCUUCCAUACCCCUAAGUAACUCCAUGCAAAAUCAGCUGGUGACCAGCCCACUUUCCCUCCUGGGGCCAGAUACUGUACUACAUGCUUUAUGUGUAUUUUCUCAAAUCCUCUCAGCAACCCUAGAGAUAAUGUAUUCCCAGUUUACUCUAAGGGAAACUGAGGCACAGACACGUCACAGAGCUGGCAUGCAGGUGUGUCACAUACUUAUAUUUGGUGUGCCUCCUUGGAGCCUUUCAGCUCCCCCAUCCACCAGACUCUUGGGUACUUCCUGUGCUCUGGCCGAGGACUCCAAGGGGUCCCUGCUGCUUUUUCAGAGUCUCAAUCCCCACUAGCCAUCAGUGCAGAGUAUGGGAUUGGCUCUCAAAUAACUGCCAAAGGGGCUGGAGAAGGCAACCAGCUGUGUGGGGAACUUCAUUCUCUCGGGUGAAUUUUGAGCAAUGGGAGCUGGGAAGGUAAAUUCCUGUCCCUCUUCCUAGGUGUGGUUCUGUGUCACCUUGCAGAGCUUCCCGUCCUUCACCUCCUCACCUCUGUUCCCUUACCCUUGCCAAAGCCUCUGUUUUUAGGCAGUCUAACUCCAGAUCUGCACUAUAGUGCUUUAGCAAUCACUGAACCAGAGGAUGGAUGUGUAGGAAUGCAAAUAAAUGAAUGACCCUCUGAGUCACGUGCUGUUGAAAUGGGGAUGGAGAAGUUAAGGGGAGACAAAAGAUGGUACCAAGUUCAUCAGCCAUUAUUUACUUUUACCCCUCCCCCUCCAUUCAUGAGGUCUAGUCAAUCAAGUGUUCUCUGACCUUCCACUAACUCCUGUCUGGUACAAUGGAAUCGAUACUCCCCAAUGCUCCACACAUGAAGCAUGUGACACUGGCAAGAUAGCCUCUGUGAGCUGGUUUCCCCACCUGUAAACUGGGGAUAAAGAUGGUUUCACCACAUAGGAGUACUGGGAGGCUUAACUUAGUUUUGAGCAUAGCACAUGGACGAAGGGGGUGGUGUUGAGGCUGCCUGUCCAUCAUCACUUUUGCCAAAGACAGCCUGUUCUCUUGGAAGUCAUAAUUCUAAUCUUAGUCGCACUGGGUAGCUGGUGCUGUUCCCUCGUCCCAUCCUCAGGUCACCAUCAGAUCCAGGCUAACACCACACCCUGUGUUCUGACCACAAGAAUUGCCAGCAAUCUGGCCAUGGGACCUAAGUCCAUCCAGCUGUUGGAACAGUACCCCAAGGUUUUGCUGGAAUAAUCAGGAUGGAGGUGCUUGCUCUUUGCUGCGAUCAUGAGCUUGGAGCUACCAGGGGCCAGUUUUACUAUUUGGCCAUUUGAGAAUGAAGUCAGAACAAAGUGGAGCCAAAGAAUUGAGCAGGAUAACGGAGCCCCGAUGACGUCUUUGUACUGUAGUUCCUGGAUCCAGCUAUGCCAGAACCCAAUUAGCCCCUGUUAUAUUUAGGAGUGAAUACAUCCCUUAGCAUUUCCCUUUUUAUUGACUUACACCAGUUCAAGAUGAGUUCCUGUUAUUUAAAAUUGAAGUGGUCCUAAGAUAGUAGAGUCUUUAUAAACAAUUGCUGCUAUUCUUGCAAUUCAUUGUAGACACAUUACGGGUAGAUGUCUACAUGGAAAUGUACAGGCCAGGUUCCCCAGAGGCUGCUCUGCUCCUCAUAUGUGAGACCCUGGAUGAAGGUGGGAGGAAUGAGUAUUCGUCCAUAUGCUCCUGAUACAUUGCAGGUGUCUGGCAUCUGGCAUAUGGCAGAACAAUCACCCUAAAGAAGACAGAUCAUAAAAAGGGAAUGAAAGCCUAUGAUGAAUGAACAAGCUGUAUACACUUGCCAUUGUGAUCAGAGAAUAACACCGUCUGUGAGAAGUCCGACAACUGGAGAGGGGCCAGAGGACAGAAGAUGAGGAAAUAAAGUGAAGUUUCAUACACAGAGGGUCCAGGCAAAAAUCCUGAGCAAAGUAGAAACCAACUGUGGACAUUUCUGCAGAAAGGAGUCCUCACUUAGAGCUUCCAGGGAACCAGCAGGAAGUCUCAUCAAAUUGGGUUCACUUUCUAUAUUUAGAGCAUCAGAAGGCUGAACAUGUCAGACAGAGUUCAGGUAGGGGCACAUGUGGAGAUUUUUUUUUUUUGGUACCGGGGAUCGAUUUUGGUACCUGCACUUGUGAGGCAGGCAGCGGAACCACUGAGCUAAAUCCCCGGCCCAAUGUGGAGAUUUUUUAAAAAUUUGAUACAGUUCAGUUAUUUUCUAGAAGAACGGGGUGACUACUUCAAAUGGAAAACAUUGACUCAAGGCCCUAAAAGUUGACUGGGAAGACAGUAGCAGUGACGAUGGGAUACGAGAUGCCGCAGUAAUAAUAGGACCCCGGAUCUUGGCAGCUCCAAGCAGCAAGGCUCAGUUCUCACCUCUGCUCUUAGUCCCCUGCCUGGAGCAACUGGAGGCUCCACCCUGCAUCUGUCUCCUCUGGGACCCAGGCUGAGGGAGCAACCCUUAUGAGGGGGAGGAAGCAGUGUGGUGAGCCAUGGGUUGGCUCUGAAAGCGUCACCCACAAGUGACAAGGCAAGUCUUAUGGCCAAGGUUAACUUCAAAAAUGGUAGGCAGUACAACCCCACUCCCCAUGGGGAGGAUGAGGAGCCAGAAAUAUGUCGGGGUAGCACCACAGACUCCACAGCCCCAGGGCUGCCAGUAUCUCAUGCAGGGAAGUGCAGGCUCUGGGCAAGAAAGGACUGGGUAGAGACUCAGCACUUUGGCAUCUGACUGGGGUCUCAGGGUCGGGAGCAAGUCAGAGGCGCAGACCAGAGCAACUGGAGGCUGGGAAAAAAGCACCAGGGCAGCAGAAGCGGACGUCAUCUCCAGAACCCUAAAUAUUCAGUGAUUGAGGUGUUUAAAUACUUGGCAGUCUAAUCAUUUAAAUGGACUAGGACAACUACUUAAAGUGACAAUAUAAAUGAACAUUUGUUGGCAACAAGCUACACGCUGGGAGUGUCCAUUUGGGGAAGGGGCUGUCAGAUGUUGAAGCAGCACCUGGCAGAGAGGGGAUCCUGUGGUAUUUGCCUCGGUGCGGACAGGCAGGAGGUGUGCAGGUUGCAUGGUGCUGGUUGAGACCUCAAAAGGUUGACAGACCAUCUGGAGACAAACACAUUCCCAUGCCAAUGUGGCAACUGGGGCAACUGGCAUUUCCUCCAGAGCUACUGGUGUCAUUUGUGUGCAAAUAAUGUGAGAAAAUUUGACUCUCUGCCUGGCUUGCCAGGAGGCUCCUGGGCAGAGUUAGCUUGUGGUUGCCUGGACCUCGUGUGGGGCUGCAGUAGGAAGGACUCUCCAAGUAUGACUAUGGGAGCAUGCACGUUUUCCGGACGUGGCCAUUUUGUUUCUCAGCUCCUCAAAUUUCUACUCCUAAAGUGAAGCUGUACACUGUGAUUAAGAGCACAGACUGCUGGGGCUGGAAUCCGGGGCCCAUCGCUCUGAGGGACCUUAAGGGAGACUUGACCAUUCUGGCCUCAGGACCACUGUGUGUGAAAUAAUAUUUCAGAGACUUGUGUCCAUAUAUAAAUUAAAUACAAAGGGCUUAGGAAAGAGCAUUCGAUAAAUAUUAAACAUUUAAAACCCUAUACUACUGCCUCUGAAUUUCAGCAAAGAAUUUGUGAGCCAUUCAGAGUAUCUUUGUAGGCAAACGGAAAAACUGAGACAGGUGAAUAGUGUGGUAAAAUCCUGUGAAGUCUGGGUUGGCUGGACUCCUGACAAGGAGAGUCAUUAAGGAAUUAGUGUCACCUUUCAAAGCAGAACUCAAAAGCAAGACAUUGCAUAUAAAACAG